UCCUCUACUCUCCAUUUUCCUAAUAGGGCCAUGUUAUAUAGCCUUAUAUUUAAUCCCUAAACCACCCUCUUCCUUACUUUGACAUAAUUUUUUCUCCACCUUUUUUGUGUUCAUUCAUGUUAUCUAACUCGGUUAUUUUCUUAAUGACAUUCUGCAUUGUGGGUAUCUAGGUAUCUGAAGACUUCCCUGUUCCAGACUUUUAGGUCUUGUUUUAAAGUACUGAUUAUUACUGUUGGAAACGUGGCAUUCAUAUGCCUACAUAAAUAAGUUGUGUUAUAAGUAGAUAAAGUACACUAACAAAACUAUCAAUAACUAUAAAAAGAAGAUAAUUGGAUUUAGAAAAAAAUUUAAGACAAGUAAAAGAAGUAACAUGGGAGUGUGGUAACGGUGCAGCUCGAGUCCAGAUAUAAUUAAUUUUAUAUUCAUAAUUGCUUUCUGGAGUUUAUUGAGAAAGAUGCUCAAUUAGUAGNACAAACAUGGUGAAGCGGUGCUGAUCGAUGCCUUCAAUAAAUUUAUCUUCCCGUGCAUUUCAACUCAAAUCACUGUUUCCUUAUUUCUAUCAAUUCAGAAAGCAGCGCGUGGAUAUUUUCUUAUUCAAGUGGUGUUCUGUGCAUUCGGUGUCAAUCAACGUUGAAAUCGUACCAGCACUUCAUUCACGUGAAUUGAAGCAGAAUUGCGGUGAUCAAAAUUUGAUGACGCAAUCUUGUUCUAUUCAGUGCUAAUUCAAUUAUUUUUUCAUUGUAUUGAUUCAACAGGAUUCGUUUAUUUGAUUCGUUGCAGCUUAUUGGCAGGUGAAGAAAAUGGAGAUUAGCAGUGCAUGAAUUUGAUUCGUUGAUUUAUUCAUACUGACUCGAACCGUUUUUGUUCGACUACGGUGUAGUUAAAUCAAUUCCAAUUGCUAACUCCAUUUCAAUUUCCUGAACAAUUAUCGGUGGUCGGUUCAAUUCGUUGAAGCGCCAUACAUAUGCAGAAGCUUUUUUUCAGUCGUAUAGCUUUAUUCAAAUCAACCUCCUUUGAUUUUUGGAGACUGAGCUGACGCGUUUGGUGCCUUUUGACUGACAUUCACGUGAAGCAGUGGAAGCAAAUUUCAAGGCAGCAGGCGAGAUAGCAAUUUUGAUAAGAAAGCAGGUGAGACUUUGAUUGAAUCAAUAAAUCUCAUCAUAAGAUUUUAUGACAGCAAAUUAAAUUUGUGAUAAGCUUCAUUUUAUGUGUCGAUUGCAUAUUAUUUAUCAACUUUACGUCAAAAAAAGUUNUUAAAAAUUAUAUUAAUAACGAAAUUAUGUAAUAUCAAAAUGUUUAUUUAUAAAAGAGUUAAAUAUAUUUUUAGUUCUUAUAUUUUGGUGCGUUUUAGUUCAUUUUUAAAUUAUGAUACAAUUUAGUCCUUUAAUUUUAGAAAAAUUUGGUUUUAGUCUUUUUUAUAAUUUUAUUUAACUUUAUUUAUUGUUUCAAGCACGUUUCUUAAUUAACAUUGAAGCAAAAAUAUGUCAGACAGUGUAAACAAUCCAAAUACUAUAAUGAAACGUAUUUGAAACAACAAAUAAAGUUAAAAAAAAUUGGUAAAAAAGACUAAAACCAGAGUUUUCUAAAGUUGAAGGNCUAAAUUGUACUAUAGUUUGGAAAUGAACUAAAACAAAAAUCACUCCAAAGUAUAGAGACUAAAAACAUAUUUAACCCUUUAUAAAAUUAAAACUUACAAACGUAGUAACGAAAUAUGCUAAGAAAAUGAGUGAUAAUUUUCUAACAAUCAAACAUUAUAUUAGUGUUUUGUAAAAGUCAUUACAAAGACGAAUAAGUCACUAAUAAAAUGUUUCAAAAUUGGUUAUAAACGAUAAUAAAAGUAAGGAAAUUUUUUUUUAACAAUUAUCUUUUAAUAACUUUUUUACAAUUUGUGAUGUGUUUCAAGUAUUUUUUAAAAAUAAAUUUAAAUAAAUUAAUAAAUAAUGANGCAUAUUUUAUUUUUAAAAAAUUGUUAAAAAAAUUAUUAACAUGAUUAUUGUGAUAUUNCAAUUAUAUAGAAAAACAUACAUAAUCAAAACGUCAUCAGAUAUAAUAAUUGAAAGUAGUUAGAACAUAUAAUAGAAGUAAUUAGGAUUACANUCAUCUUUAAAACAAUAUUAGAAUGUGAAAUUGGAGUAUUAAAGUUUCUCCCAGGAAAAUACAAGGAAUUAAAAACUUAGGACAUGAUAGAGUUCUUCAAAAUAAAAGGCUAAACAAGUUAAGCCUAGUGAACUACACUACAACACUGUCAUUCCCAUCAAGAGUUGUUUCCAAAGUAACCUCCUCGUCAUCGGCUCCCAUCCAAAUGGAUUAUCAUCGCAAGAGAAAACACGCAAACAUAGCACAACACAAACAAAUGCAAGAGUGAACUAAUUAUAUAAAGACAUGCAAUUAUAUUCACAUAUACAUAUCAGAUUUAAUCUCAAGUCAAGAGUAUGCAAGCAAGACAAUAUACAACAUAGAUCCUAACAUGUUAACUUGUAGACUUGACUCGUCCGGACUUUAGAAUGAUAAUCGAGCUAUGGCGGAUCAUGCACCCGUGGUGGCUUGUGAUACUUAUGCUCCCCCGCCCAGCCACACUCAGAAUAUUAGUCCGUUCCACGCCCUAGAGCAUACUGGAAACCUCCAAGAUUAAGACCUCCUACUACUUCAUUUUCAACUGAUUAAGAAAUAUAAAUAAAAUAUAUAUAAUGUAUGCAUAAUAAUUCAUUGUUGAUGAGAUUGAAAGAUAUUAAAAUUGAUAAAAUACAUCAUAAGUAACAUAAAGUAAUAAUUUGUUUGAGAAGCUUAGGAUUGGAUUUAACUAAUCCUACCCUUUUGUAAACUUGACAUCACCUGUACCAUAAUCACUAUUCUACUAUGUUACAAAGGAUGAGAUACAUCUAAUCUAAUCAAUUCCUUGAUAAUGACAUUUCAAUUUUUUUUUCCCCUAGAACAUCAACUUCCUGCAAAUUCAAAAAGGAAAAACUUGAAUAAGAAAAGCUUACCAUAUAUUUUCACAAGUAUGUAAAUUUAGCUUAACCAUAUUACCAUCAUUUGUCUUUAUUAAACCCUAUAAAAUAUUGCAACGAAAAUUACAUAAUAACUUAAACGAAAUAUAUAUAUAUAUAUAUAUAUAUAUAUAUAUAUAUAUAUAUAUAUAUAUAUAUAUCUAAAUAUUAACCCGUAAUAUUAACAGGUAGUACCUGGAUUGUCCUUCAUACAUGGUGUUAUUGAAGCUUCCAAACCAGAGUUUUUUAGCAUAUGUAACAUAAAUUGAUCUUAAACAUGGUGUGACGAGGAUGCCUGUUGAAAAUGUCUCCAUUUUUGGCACAUUGCUUACCCUUACUAUGUUCAACUUAGGCAAAUAUAAAAUUUUACUUUGCCUAUAGAAACUUACCAACAUCGGAA
rnacentral:lncRNA from 1 species